CGAGUUUGAUCAUGGCUCAGAACGAACGCUGGCGGCAGGCUUAACACAUGCAAGUCGAACGCCCCGCAAGGGAGGUGGCAGACGGGUGAGUAACACGUGGGAACAUGCCCAAAGGUACGGAAUAUUCUCGGGAAACUGGGAGCAAUACCGUAUGUGCCCGAAAGGGGAAAGAUUUAUCGCCUUUGGAUUGGCCCGCGUUGGAUUAGCUAGUUGGUGGGGUAAAAGCCUACCAAGGCGACGAUCCAUAGCUGGUCUGAGAGGACGACCAGCCACACUGGGACUGAGACACGGCCCAGACUCCUACGGGAGGCAGCAGUGGGGAAUCUUGGACAAUGGGCGCAAGCCUGAUCCAGCCAUGCCGCGUGAGUGAUGAAGGCCCUAGGGUUGUAAAACUCUUUCGUGGGGGACGAUAAUGACGGUACCCCAAGAAGAAGCUCCGGCUAACUUCGUG
rnacentral:rRNA from 1 species